rnacentral:rRNA from 1 species
CCUACGGGAGGCAGCAGUGGGGGAUAUUGCACAAUGGGGGGAACCCUGAUGCAGCGACGCCGCGUGGGUGAAGAAGCGCCUCGGCGCGUAAAGCCCUGUCAGCAGGGAAGAAAAUGACGGUACCUGAAGAAGAAGCCCCGGCUAACUACGUGCCAGCAGCCGCGGUCAUACGUAGGGGGCAAGCGUUAUCCGGAUUUACUGGGUGUAAAGGGGGCGCAGACGGCGAUGCAAGCCAGGAGUGAAAGCCCGGGGCGCAACCCCGGGACUGCCCUUGGAACUGCGUGGCUGGAGUGCAGGAGGGGCAGGCGGAAUUCCUGGGGUAGCGGUGAAAUGCGUAGAUAUCAGGAGGAACACCGGUGGCGAAGGCGGCCUGCUGGACUGCAACUGACGUUGAGGCCCGAAAGCGUGGGGAGCAAACAGGAUUAGAUACCCCUGUAGUC